rnacentral:rRNA from 1 species
AUACGGAGGGUGCAAGCGUUACUCGGAAUCACUGGGCGUAAAGCGCGCGCAGGCGGCUUGAUAAGUUGGAUGUGAAAGCCUACGGCUCAACCGUAGAACUGCAUCCAAAACUGUCAGGCUCGAGUGUGGGAGAGGAAGAUGGAAUUAGUUGUGUAGGGGUAAAAUCCGUAGAGAUAACUAGGAAUACCAAAAGCGAAGGCAAUCUUCUGGAACACUACUGACGCUGAGGCGCGAAGGCGUGGGGAGCAAACAGGAUUAGAUACCCCGGUAGUCC